AUGAGCUGCUCGGAGAAGGUAGCCACCAACAAGAAGACGUCGUGGCCGGAGGUGGUAGGGCUGAGCGUGGAGAAGGCCAAGGAGAUCAUCCUCACGGACAAGCCCGACGCCGACAUCGUCGUCCUCCCCGUCGGCUCGCCGGUCACCAAGGACUACAGGUCCGAGCGUGUCCGCAUCUUCAUUGACACCGUCGCCGAGAUCCCCCACACUGGCUAG
rnacentral:rRNA from 1 species